CCCCUUCUGAAAAGCACUCGCUGGGUCUGGUUCCUCGUGGCCCAGGGAGAUGUCGUGGAAGGGCAGAAUAAUGGGCACCGCUUUUGGGUGAGGUGGCAGCUUGUGCUGUUGAACCUCAAUCAGUGAUGCUACAGGC